UGGGGAAUAUUGGACAAUGGGCGAAAGCCUGAUCCAGCAAUGCCGCGUGUGUGAAGAAGGUCUUCGGAUUGUAAAGCACUUUCGACGGGGACGAUGAUGACGGUACCCGUAGAAGAAGCUCCGGCUAACUUCGUGCCAG
rnacentral:rRNA from 1 species